GAGGAUGCUUCGGGUGCGGUCCCCGUCUAAGUGCCCUGGAACGGGCCGUCAUAGAGGGUGAGAAUCCCGUCUGGGAUGGGCGGCCGCGCCCGUGUGAAGCUCCUUCGAC
rnacentral:rRNA from 1 species